GAUAUUGACUAAAUGAUGCUUAUGGCAUAUUUGGUAGUGCUGUCUUGUUGUGCUAUCUACAAGGAUAGUAUUAUUCAGAUAUGAUCAUAUAAGAUUGAAAGGUAUGAUUUAACUAAAAUACUAUAGUUUGUUGUGCUAUCCACAAGGCUAUAAGUAUUUUAGAGGCAAAAAUUAUGUUGAGAGUUGCAUAAGAUGCAAUUGGUAAAGAUUUACCUACCCUUGAACUCAUAAGAGCUUGUUGCGC
rnacentral:lncRNA from 1 species